ACUUAAUCUUCUUUUCUGCUUACGAUAUUUCCUUAACUUCAAGACUUAUGUACAUACAUAUGUGUAAUUAUUUAUGUAGUAAAGAAUAUUCGAAUUAAAUUUCUUAUUAUUUUUAUGUACUUACUGUCCUUUGAAUCUAAUGAAGCCCAGCGUUGAUUCGUUUCAUAUUUACGAAACUUUUUUACGACAUAAAUUUUCUACCGGAUGGACUCAGGAGUAUGAAUUUGGAGUGGGAGUGACAAGGGAAUUAGUUUCAGACACAGAAAAAUUUGAUCUCAUGGAUGAAAGGCGACAAAAUUGAUUCUACUGACGAAAGAAUGACACCUACACACACUAAGCGUUGGAUUUUAAAAUCAACCUCAUCGUCGACGCAUUAAGCUAAAAGUUUCUCACCUUUACGACGUGUGCAAGUUUUUUAUAUAGAUUUAUGUAUAUAGAUGUACAUACAUACAUAAAUGCAUGUUACGUGUUUUGUACCCAUUAAAAAUACUCUACAUAGAUACUAGAGUAUUUUUUUUAGUAUACGGUCCAAUUUCAAUUUCUCACUUUUUUCAUUAUUUUCAUGGAACUGUGAGAAUUACGAAGACCUGGAGAAGCCAUAUUUUAUUCCUGAUCUAUGCAUGUAUCUACUUUUCAUGAAGCCUGAUUUUAGCGUUAGUGCUUUUACUUUAGAUGGAUGACUUUUCAACUACAAAAUUACAUGUGUGAAAACAAGUACAUAUUUCCAUACGUAUUUUUCUACUUGGCUAUUUUUCUUGAAAUCUAUGGCUUCUAGAGGAUGAAAUGUUUCACUAUUUACGUAAUUAAUAUCUACACUAAAUUUAUUUAAUAUGUACGUACAUACAUAUUUCCUCUCGUCAAAUGGGUAAAUAUUUGACGAGAAGGGGCUUGCUCAAAAAAUGUUAUUUAUUUAUUUACGGUACUACUGAUACCUUUGUUUGAUUUAUUUGUUUUAGUUUACACGUUUAGAUGUUUUGUCAUUCUUCAAGAAAGGUUUGUGAUAAGUGUAGAACAACGCCCAUUUUUUCAAAUUGAUUAUGAUCAGAUUCCUAACUUUUUUGUUACGUUAAUUAUUGGAUAGAAGAUUUGCAAUUUGACUCAUUAUUAAUGAGUCAUUAAUCAAUAGACUUUAACAUCGUAUAACUUCAAUUAAUUUCAAUUUAUGGUAAUGAUUGAAAUUGUGAAUAUUUAUUUUGAAAAUGACGGAUGUAUCAUUAAGUUAUUCUGAUCUGGUUAAAUGGUAAAAUUGUUUAACUGUUCUUUUAAAUAUUUUGAUUUUUAUAGUGCAUUAAAUUUACUCCAUUUGUACAUUUUCUAACAC